rnacentral:rRNA from 1 species
AACGCGAAGAACCUUACCUGGGCUCGAAAUGCUGUGGACCAGCUUAUGAAAGUAGGCCUUCCCGCAAGGGACCGCAGUAUAGGUGCUGCAUGGCUGUCGUCAGCUCGUGUCGUGAGAUGUUGGGUUAAGUCCCGCAACGAGCGCAACCCUUGUCCUGUGUUGCCAUACCUUAAAAAGUGGAACUCGCAGGAGACCGCCAGGGAUAACCUGGAGGAAGGUGGGGAUGACGUCAAGUCCUCAUGGCCUUUAUGUCCAGGGCUACACACGUGCUACAAUGGACGGUACAAUACGUCGCUAACCCGCGAGGGGGAGCCAAUCGCUAAAAACCGUUCUCAGUUCGGAUUGCAGGCUGCAACUCGCCUGCAUGAAGCUGGAAUCGCUAGUAAUGGCAGAUCAGCACGCUGCCGUGAAUACGUUCCCGGGCCUUGUACACACCGCGCAUA